GAUUCCCCUAGUAACGGCGAGUGAAGAGGGAAGAGCUCAAAUUUUGAAUCUGGCGUCUUCGGCGUCCGAGUUGUAAUCUAGAGAAGUGUUUUCCGUGGCGGACCGUGCACAAGUCUCCUGGAAUGGAGCGUCAUGGAGGGUGAGAAUCCCGUAUAUGGCACGGACUCCCGUCGCUCUGCGAUACACUCUCGACGAGUCGAGUUGUUUGGGAAUGCAGCUCAAAGUGGGUGGUAAAUGCCAUCUAAAGCUAAAUAUUGGCGAGAGACCGAUAGCGAACAAGUACCGUGAGGGAAAGAUGAAAAGCACUUUGGAAAGAGAGUGAAACAGUACGUGAAAUUGUUGAAAGGGAAACGCUUGAAGUCAGUCGCGCCUUUCAGGAUUCAGCCUUGCUUCUGCUCGGUUUACUUCCUGUUGGGUGGGUCAACGUCAGUUUCCGCCAGAGGAGAAAGGCUCGGGGAAUGUGGCAGGCUUGCCUGUGUUAUAGCCCCUUGUUGUAUACUUUGGUGGGGACUGAGGACUGCAGCGCGCCUUUACGGCCGGGGUUCGCCCACGUACGCGCUUAGGAUGUUGGCAUAAUGGCUUUAAGCGACCCGUCUUGA
rnacentral:rRNA from 1 species